rnacentral:rRNA from 1 species
UGGGGAAUUUUGGACAAUGGGGGCAACCCUGAUCCAGCCAUGCCGCGUGAGUGAAGAAGGCCUUAGGGUCGUAAAGCUCUUUCGCCGGGGAAGAUAAUGACUGUACCCGGUAAAGAAACCCCGGCUAACUCCGUGCCAGCAGCCGCGGUAAUACGGAGGGGGUUAGCGUUGUUCGGAAUUACUGGGCGUAAAGCGCGCGUAGGCGGAUCGGAAAGUCGGGGGUGAAAUCCCGGGGCUCAACCCCGGAAUUGCCUUCGAAACUCCCGAUCUUGAGUUCGAGAGAGGUGAGUGGAAUUCCGAGUGUAGAGGUGAAAUUCGUAGAUAUUCGGAGGAACACCAGUGGCGAAGGCGGCUCACUGGCUCGAUACUGACGCUGAGGUGCGAAAGCGUGGGGAGCAAACA